GCCGGGGUGGCGGAACGGCAGACGCAGGGGACUUAAAAUCCCCUGGGGGUCUCUCCCGUGAGGGUUCGACUCCCUCCCCCGGCACCU
rnacentral:tRNA from 1 species